GACGAACGCUGGCGGCGUGCUUAACACAUGCCAGUCGAACGGAAAGGCCCUGCUUUUGUGGGGUGCUCGAGUGGCGAACGGGUGAGUAACACGUGAGUAACCUGCCCUUGACUUUGGGAUAACUUCAGGAAACUGGGGCUAAUACCGGAUAGGAGCUCCUGCUGCAUGGUGGGGGUUGGAAAGUUUCGGCGGUUGGGGAUGGACUCGCGGCUUAUCAGCUUGUUGGUGGGGUAGUGGCUUACCAAGGCUUUGACGGGUAGCCGGCCUGAGAGGGUGACCGGGCACAUUGGGACUACGAUACGGCCCAGACUCCUACGGGAGGCAGCAGUGGGGAAUAUUGCACAAUGGGCGGAAGCCUGAUGCAGCAGCGCCGCGUGCGGGAUGACGGCCUUCGGGUUGUAAACCGCUUUCGCCUGUGACGAAGCGUGAGUGACGGUAAUGGGUAAAGAAGCACCGGCUAACUACGUG
rnacentral:rRNA from 1 species